rnacentral:rRNA from 1 species
GAUGAACGCUGGCGGCGUGCCUAAUACAUGCAAGUCGAGCGAAUGGAUUAAGAGCUUGCUCUUAUGAAGUUAGCGGCGGACGGGUGAGUAACACGUGGGUAACCUGCCCAUAAGACUGGGAUAACUCCGGGAAACCGGGGCUAAUACCGGAUAACAUUUUGAACCGCAUGGUUCGAAAUUGAAAGGCGGCUUCGGCUGUCACUUAUGGAUGGACCCGCGUCGCAUUAGCUAGUUGGUGAGGUAACGGCUCACCAAGGCAACGAGGCGUAGCCGACCUGAGAGGGUGAUCGGCCACACUGGGACUGAGACACGGCACAGACUCCUACGGGAGGCAGCAGUAGGGAAUCUUCCGCAAUGGACGAAAGUCUGACGGAGCAACGCCGCGUGAGUGAUGAAGGCUUUCGGGUCGUAAAACUCUGUUGUUAGGGAUGAACAAGUGCUAGUUGAAUAAGCUGGCACCUUGACGGUACCUAACCAGAAAGCCACGGCUAACUACGUGCCAGCCGCCGCCGUAA